UGAAGCUGGAGUUACUAGUAAUCGCAGAUCAGAAUGCUGCGGUGAAUGCGUUCCCGGGUCUUGUACACACCGCCCGUCACACCACGGAAGUUGGGGGCGCCCGAAGCCACUUAGCUAACCCUUUUGGGAAGCGAGUGUCGAAGGUGAAAUCAAUAACUGGGGUGAAGUCGUAACAAGGUACC
rnacentral:rRNA from 1 species